rnacentral:rRNA from 1 species
CCUCCUUUUGUCCUCCUUUUUUCCUCUUUCCCCCUUUUGUCUCCCCUGCUGCCGCGCCGCCGCGUGCGUGAGGAAGUAUUUCGGUAUGUAAAGCUCUAUCAGCAGGGAAGUAAAUGACGGUACCUGACUAAGAAUCCCCGGCUAACUACGUGCCAGCAGCCGCGGUAAUACGUAGGGGGCAAGCGUUAUCCGGAUUUACUGGGUGUAAAGGGAGUGUAGACGGCUAAUCAAGUCAGAAGUGAAAACCCAUGGCUCAACUUUGGGACUGCUUUUGAAACUGAGUAGCUAGAGUGCAGGAGAGGUAAGCGGAAUUCGUAGUGUAGCGGUGAAAUGCGUAGAUAUUAGGAGGAACACCAGUGGCGAAGGCGGCUUACUGGACUGUAACUGACGUUGAGGCUCGAAAGUGUGGGGAGCAAACAGGAUUAGAUACCCCAGUAGUC